rnacentral:rRNA from 1 species
CCUACGGGGGGCAGCAGUGAGGAAUAUUGGUCAAUGGCCGGAAGGCUGAACCAGCCAAGCCGCGUGAAGGACGAAGGUGCCAAGCAUUGUAAACUUCUUUUGUCAAGGGACAAAAUCAGGCUCGAGAGCCUGACCGAGGGUACUUGAAGAAAAAGCAUCGGCUAACUCCGUGCCAGCAGCCGCGGUAAUACGGAGGAUGCGAGCGUUAUCCGGAUUUAUUGGGUUUAAAGGGUGCGUAGGCGGAAUGCCAAGUCAGCGGUAAAAGCGCGGGGCUCAACCUCGCUCAGCCGUUGAAACUGGCGGUCUUGAGUGGGCGAGAAGUAUGCGGAAUGCGUGGUGUAGCGGUGAAAUGCAUAGAUAUCACGCAGAACUCCGAUUGCGAAGGCAGCAUACCGGCGCCCAACUGACGCUGAAGCACGAAAGCGUGGGUAUCGAACAGGAUUAGAUACCCCAGUAGUC